CCUACGGGUGGCAGCAGUGGGGAAUAUUGCACAAUGGGGGAAACCCUGAUGCAGCGACGCCGCGUGAGUGAAGAAGUAAUUCGGUAUGUAAAGCUCUGUCAGCAGGGAAGAAAGAAAUGACGGUACCUGACCAAGAAGCCCCGGCUAACUACGUGCCAGCAGCCGCGGUAAUACGUAGGGGGCAAGCGUUAUCCGGAAUUACUGGGUGUAAAGGGAGCGUAGACGGUGAUGCAAGUCUGGAGUGAAAGGCGGGGGCCCAACCCCCGGACUGCUCUGGAAACUGUGUAACUUGAGUGCAGGAGAGGUAAGCGGAAUUCCUAGUGUAGCGGUGAAAUGCGUAGAUAUUAGGAGGAACACCAGUGGCGAAGGCGGCUUACUGGACUGUAACUGACGUUGAGGCUCGAAAGCGUGGGGAGCAAACAGGAUUAGAUACCCGUGUAGUC
rnacentral:rRNA from 1 species